rnacentral:tRNA from 1 species
CACGGGAUAGAGUAAUAUGGUUAACUUGAUAGGCUCAUGAUCUAUUGUUAUAGGUUCAAAUCCUAUUCCCGUAA